CUUGAGGGCGCGCUUUGCUUAAAUAGACACAAAGCGCACUUAUGAGGACGCACUUUGUUGCCAUGUACGCAAAGCGCGCCCUCAGGG
rfam:Gossypium raimondii chromosome 8, whole genome shotgun sequence.